rnacentral:rRNA from 7 species
UGGUGGGUAGUUUGACUGGGGCGGUCUCCUCCUAAAGAGUAACGGAGGAGCACGAAGGUUGGCUAAUCCUGGUCGGACAUCAGGAGGUUAGUGCAAUGGCAUAAGCCAGCUUGACUGCGAGCGUGACGGCGCGAGCAGGUGCGAAAGCAGGUCAUAGUGAUCCGGUGGUUCUGAAUGGAAGGGCCAUCGCUCAACGGAUAAAAGGUACUCCGGGGAUAACAGGCUGAUACCGCCCAAGAGUUCAUAUCGACGGCGGUGUUUGGCACCUCGAUGUCGGCUCAUCACAUCCUGGGGCUGAAGUAGGUCCCAAGGGUAUGGCUGUUCGCCAUUUAAAGUGGUACGCGAGCUGGGUUUAGAACGUCGUGAGACAGUUCGGUCCCUAUCUGCCGUGGGCGCUGGAGAACUGAGGGGGGCUGCUCCUAGUACGAGAGGACCGGAGUGGACGCAUCACUGGUGUUCGGGUUGUCAUGCCAAUGGCACUGCCCGGUAGCUAAAUGCGGAAGAGAUAAGUGCUGAA